rnacentral:tRNA from 1 species
AUCCCCUUAGCUCAGUGGUAGAGUAAUGUCCCAGGUUCGAUUCCUGGAGGGGAUA